GCUCUUCUGAGGAGUCUCACGAUAAGACGAAACGGCCGUCCAGUAU
rfam:Schistosoma rodhaini strain Burundi genome assembly, scaffold: SROB_scaffold0000635